rnacentral:rRNA from 1 species
GAUGAACGCUGGCGGCGUGCCUAAUACAUGCAAGUCGAGCGAACGGACGAGAAGCUUGCUUCUCUGAUGUUAGCGGCGGACGGGUGAGUAACACGUGGAUAACCUACCUAUAAGACUGGGAUAACUUCGGGAAACCGGAGCUAAUACCGGAUAAUAUUUUGAACCGCAUGGUUCAAAAGUGAAAGACGGUCUUGCUGUCACUUAUAGAUGGAUCCGCGCUGCAUUAGCUAGUUGGUAAGGUAACGGCUUACCAAGGCAACGAUGCAUAGCCGACCUGAGAGGGUGAUCGGCCACACUGGAACUGAGACACGGUCCAGACUCCUACGGGAGGCAGCAGUAGGGAAUCUUCCGCAAUGGGCGAAAGCCUGACGGAGCAACGCCGCGUGAGUGAUGAAGGUCUUCGGAUCGUAAAACUCUGUUUUUAGGGAAGAACAUAUGUGUAAGUAACUGUGCACAUCUUGACGGUACCUAAUCAGAAAGCCACGGCUAACUACGU